rnacentral:piRNA from 1 species
UACCUCUGGGCCAGUUCUCUCUAGUC